rnacentral:rRNA from 1 species
GGAGGAAAAGAAACCAACAGGGAUUGCCUCAGUAACGGCGAGUGAAGCGGCAAAAGCUCAAAUUUGAAACCCUCGGGAUUGUAAUUUGAAGAUUUGGCAUUGGAGAAAGCUAACCCAAGUUGCUUGGAAUAGUACGUCAUAGAGGGUGACAACCCCGUCUGGCUAACCGUUCUCCAUGUAUUGCCUUAUCAAAGAGUCGAGUUGUUUGGGAAUGCAGCUCAAAGUGGGUGGUAAACUCCAUCUAAAGCUAAAUACUGGUGAGAGACCGAUAGCGAACAAGUACUGUGAAGGAAAGGUGAAAAGAACUUUGAAAAGAGAGUGAAAUAGUAUGUGAAAUUGUUGAUAGGGAAGGAAAUGAGUGGAGAGUGGCCGAGGUUUCAGCCGCCCCUCGUGGGCGGUGUACUGCCGACGCCGAGUCAUCGAUAGCGAGACGAGGGUUACAAAUGGGAGCGCCUUCGGGCGUUCUCCCCUAACCCUCCACACUGCCACCGACGACAUAAUCCACCCAUUUCACCCGUC